AUUUUGGGCACACUGUUUCGAUAAGGAAGAGGGGCGGAGGAGCGAUAGGCAGAGGCGCUCGAGCGACGGAGGAGAGGAGGCGAUUCCGUCGAGUUCUUGCCGUUUUCCGAGUUCCCUCUCUGCUCGAGCUUGAUUUUUUUUCCUUUGAUUCAGGGCUCCGCCGGUUGGUUGUUCUUGUCUCUCCCCCUCCUCUCGUGCGAUUUUGCCCUGUCUGUUCGUGUAGCUUCCAGAUCUAUGUCUGUGGGUUAUUGGUAGUUGUAUUUUGAUGCGUUUGGUUCCAUGGAUGCCCCUCUGCACGCGUCAGAUGUCUGAAUUCGUGUGUUAGGUACUUAGGUCUGGCUUGUUCUUCCUCUGUUAGGUUUUAGGUGUUCUCGUUUUGAUUCCCUCAGUGGAGGUGCUGGUAGGUUGUACGUUUAGAUGUUGGUCAUCUGAAUAGGGUUAGGGCUUGUGGUUUCUGCUGGUAGUAUUGCUUCGUAUGGCUUGAUUCGUCUGGCUUGCCCUCUGCAUAUGUAGUUCUACCAUCUGGUAGGGUUAGGGUUUGUAAUUUUUGUUGUAGUUGUAAGUGUUUUAGCUUGCUUGUUGAUGCUAUUAUUGUGUGUCAAAUUUAAUAGGGGAUUGGUCUGGCUCGUCCCCUUCUUGUGUUGUUCUUCCAUGUGGUAGGGGUUAGUGUUUGUGAUUUUGGUUGUAGAGGUAAGGUUUAGGUAGCUUUGUUGAUGUUAUCCUCUAGCACUUCGUCUGCAAAUGUUUUUGUAAUGUUAAGUCUGAAUUAGGGUGGAUGUUAACUGUGAAUUUCACUGUAAUGCAUCCCAUUAUUCCCUAGUUACAUUGUAAUUUACCAACUGUAUUAUUCCCCAGAUAAUUACUGUGCAUUUUAACUCUGAAAUACAGUGUAGUUUUUAUGCUUCGUCUCUGUAAUUGCUGUAAGUUUAAUUACUGUGUAAUUGUAAGAUAGUUUACACUGUAAUUUACUAACUGUAUUAUUCCACAGAUAAUUACAGUGGAUUUUAACUCCGAAUUACAGUGUAGUUUGUAUGCUUCAUCUUUGUAAUUGCUAUAUGUCUAAUUACUGUGUAACUGUGAGAUAGUUUACACUUUCACAAUGUACUUACUAUGUAAUUACAGUGUAGUUUGUAUGUUUCGUCUCACACCAGGAAGUUCCGUUAGUAUCAUCUUUUUGAGAGUGCAGAUUCUGUCGGUGAACUGUUUGCGCUUAAUGCCUUUGCGGAAAAUGGUUCUUGUGCUAUGUCUAUGGUAGUUAUUUCUUUUCUUCUUCUUUAGGUAUAUUUUAUUUUCUUGCUUCUUCAGAUCAUUUUAUUUAAUUUCAGUCUGUCAGCUUUUUUAUUUUUGCAGGAACUUUCUGGUGAUGAAGGAGGUUUUGAGAAAGCUCUUUUGAAGUUCUAUUUGAAUCAAAAAGUAAAAUGCUUGAAGAGGAAAUUAUCAUCUACUGUGAGAAGGAAUGUCGUUAGUCCCCCUUGGCUGUACCUGAAGUUCUAUCUGAGUAAAAUGCUCUGUAAUUUAUUUUCCUUAUAGUAAUUUUUUAGUGAUGUGUACUGUAUUUCUUAUGUAAUUAUCAUUUCUUUUUUUCUUGCACUUAGCAUGUUUUAUUCUUUGUUAUUCCACUGUUAGUUUACAGUAUUUUUUUUCUUCAGAAUUUACCCCCUGGUUUUUGUUUACUUAUAUGCGGAAGUAAUCUAGUUUACUAAAGAGCUGUAGUCUUUUGUUUUGCUCUAGGAAUUCCUUUUGUGUAUUUUGUAGCCUUCUUGCAUUGGUACUCUCUUAUGUGUUUUGAUCUCUGUUUCCUUUUGUUCUUUGUAGAGACAGAAUUGUUCUAGUGAUUUCCCUUCUUGUUCAACUUUAUGUAAUUUUGCUGUCAAUAGUUGGGGUAUUCCCAGUGUAUCAUGGGAACUAACACUGUAAAUUAUAGUGGAGUAGCUCUGAAGUUUCAUUGUAAUUUACUGGGUUACAACAUAACUUCA